UUCGCAAUGCCCGAAAGGGUGAACGAGCGACGCCGCGUGGAGGACGAAGGCCUUCGGGUUGUAAACUCCUGUCGAGGGGGAGGAAGGGGCAACCUUGACCGAUCCCUGGAGGAAGCACGGGCUAAGUUCGUGCCAGCAGCCGCGGUAAGACGAACCGUGCGAACGUUAUUCGGAAUCACUGGGCUUAAAGCGCGUGUAGGCGGAUGGGAACGUCGGUCUUUGAAAGCCCCCGGCUCAACCGGGGAAGGGGUGCCGAAACGACCUGUCUGGAGGGACGUAGGGGGAUCUGGAACUUCCGGUGGAGCGGUGAAAUGCGUUGAGAUCGGAAGGAACGCCCGUGGCGCAAGCGAGGUCCUGGACGUCUGCUGACGCUGAGACGCGAAAGCUAGGGGAGCAAACGGGAUUAGAUACCCCGGUAGUCCUAGCCGUAAACGAUGGGCACUAAGUAGAGGGGUU
rnacentral:rRNA from 1 species